AUUGAACGCUGGCGGCAGGCUUAACACAUGCAAGUCGAGCGGAGAUGAGGUGCUUGCACCUUAUCUUAGCGGCGGACGGGUGAGUAAUGCUUAGGAAUCUGCCUAUUAGUGGGGGUCAACAUUCCGAAAGGAAUGCUAAUACCGCAUACGUCCUACGGGAGAAAGCAGGGGAUCUUCGGACCUUGCGCUAAUAGAUGAGCCUAAGUCGGAUUAGCUAGUUGGUGGGGUAAAGGCCUACCAAGGCGACGAUCUGUAGCGGGUCUGAGAGGAUGAUCCGCCACACUGGGACUGAGACACGGCCCAGACUCCUACGGGAGGCAGCAGUGGGGAAUAUUGGACAAUGGGGGGAACCCUGAUCCAGCCAUGCCGCGUGUGUGAAGAAGGCCUUAUGGUUGUAAAGCACUUUAAGCGAGGAGGAGGCUACUGAGACUAAUACCCUUGGAUAGUGGACGUUACUCGCAGAAUAAGCACCGGCUAACUCUGUGCCAGCCGCCGCGGUAA
rnacentral:rRNA from 1 species